rnacentral:lncRNA from 1 species
GAUCAUAGAGUGGGUUUGGCAUAGCGGCUUCUGUUCUCCGGUUGUGCUGUGCAGAUAAAGGAAGGAACCGAGUGGAAGGAACCGAGGGAGGCUAGAAGGGGCUAAGUCCAAAUUGAUCCAGUGCCUACUCAGAAGUUGUAUAACUUCAACCAGCUGUGGAAUCUUAAUAUCAUUUUCCUGUACUCAUUCAAUUGAGAGAGAAGUAGUAGUAUCGGAAGCUCAGAGACCAAAGAAGAGAAGAGUUGAAAAUGCCUACUGCAUUCUUGAAGUGUCCCAUGCAUGAGACUGCAGUUCCAAUCUUUUCAUGCUUAUGAAUCAAGGUAGGAAUUGCUUUCUUUUCUGUCUCUUGAAUAGCUGGAAGCAGAGCUCUUUUAAGCUUCCUGCCCAUUCUUAUGUUCAGCUUUUGUGACCAGUCUGUCCUUAAUAAAUGACUUAAUAGAAUGAACAACACUAAGAACUGCAACAGAAGUAACUAUGAAAUCAUUUUUAUUGAAUGUUUUCUAUAGACAUAUAUAGUCUUAUAUCUUAUAUUGUUUCCUAGUAUAAUUUGAUUGCUUAUUGUACCCUACAACUAUUAUAAGUAUUGCACCUUAUGAUUCUUGACUCUUU